AUUGAACGCUGGCGGCAGGCUUAACACAUGCAAGUCGAGCGAGCGGCGGACGGGUGAGUAAUGUCUGGGAAACUGCCUGAUGGAGGGGGAUAACUACUGGAAACGGUAGCUAAUACCGCAUACCAUCAGAGGUGCCCAGAUGGGAUUAGCUAGUAGGUGGGGUAAUGGCGCACCUAGGCGACGACCCCUAGCUGGUCCGAGAGGAUGACCAGCCACACUGGAACUGGGACGCGGUCCAAAGUCCUACGGGAGGCAGCAGUGGGGAAGAUUGCACAAAGGGCGCUAGCCUGAUGCAGCCAGUCCGCGUGUAUUAAGAAGGCCUUCGGGUUGUAAAGUACUUUCAGCGGGUAGGCGUUACCCGCAGAAGAAGCACCGGCUAACUCCGUGCCAGCCGCCGCGGUAAUAC
rnacentral:rRNA from 1 species